UGUGUUACUUCAGGAGGCUCCAAGGUC
rnacentral:piRNA from 1 species